AUAAUUAGAGAAGAAAAAAGCUAAUAAAUGAAUAAAAAAGAAAAGAGAGAGAGAGAGAGAGAGAAAGAAACAUCGUGCGUCAGGUCUGUGCGAGCUAGCAGCGGCCAAAGGGCAGCUCGCCGCAUCAUAUUCGAUUUCGUGUUGUUGCACAAUAUUCACCGUAUCUCGCGAACUAGAAGCCAAAGCUUUGCCAGUUGUCAGUUGAUUCUCGUUGCGUUACAAGGAAAUUUUUAGCGCGAUCUACCACGUUAAAAAUCUUUUAUAAAAGAAUAUUUCGAAGCUCCCUCCCCAGUGAGUUUCAAGAACCAACCACCCGGUGGAGCGUUAAGCGCCACGAUUUCCAUCUCGUCUGUGUCGUUCUUUCGUGCCAACAAUAACGUUAUUGGCACAGUAUUGUACCAUUCGUUGCCUGUUAUUUAAACCAGUAAAACGAAUGAAUGAUCGACUUGAAGAUUACGUUAGUGAAUUCGUUCGAACUCGUUUUGAUUUAAAUUUCAAUCGUUAGAAUUUCGCUAAAUUGUCCCUGAAUUUUUUAUAUAAGUAAAAAAAAUUAUACUAGUUAUGAUCAAUAGCACGGAUAAGAUCAAGUACAAUUUUGUUCGUUUUGUUUAUCGACGGGAAUAAUAGAUAAUGUGAUGAUAGUGUUGUUGUUGUUGUUGUUGUUGUUGUUGUUGUUGUUGUUGUUGUUGUUCACAGUGAUGAUAGUGUUUAUGAUGACAUAAAAAGGAUGAAUUGUGUGAAACGCGAUAAAGACAAGUCGCUAGUCAAUAUCAUCUCUCAAUUUUAGCACGAGAUUGCAGCACGAAGUUGACCACGAAAGUAGAAACCGUGUUGCGUGGUUUCGGCCAAGGCAAUCAUCGGUUUCCUCGUGUUCCAUCGGCUUGCAUUUCGAUGUAGUAUUUUUUUUUCUCUAAUAGCUAACGAGGUUACGAUGUCAAAGUAUAAAAUAAAUGUGUUUAAUUAAA